UUGGAGGGCAAGUCUGGUGCCAGCAGCCGCGGUAAUUCCAGCUCCAAUAGCGUAUAUUUAAGUUGUUGCAGUUAAAAAGCUCGUAGUUGAAUUUCGGGAUUGGCGCAUCGGUCGUGCCUCACGGGGUAUGAACUGGUGCAGUCAAUUUCUCACCUUCUGGAGAACCGCGAUGUCCUUAAUUGGAUGCCGCGGGGAACCAGGACCUUUACUUUGAAAAAAUUAGAAUGUUUAAAGCAGGCAUUUUUGCUUGAAUACAUUAGCAUGGAAUAAUAAAAUAGGACGGCAUGGUUCUAUUUUGUUGGUUUCUAGGACCACCGUAAUGAUUAAUAGGGAUAGUUGGGGGCAUUAGUAUUCAAUUGUCAGAGGUGAAAUUCUUGGAUUUAUUGAAGACUAACUACUGCGAAAGCAUUUGCCAAGGAUGUUUUCAUUAAUCAAGAACGAAAGUUAGGGGAUCGAAGACGAUCAGAUACCGUCGUAGUCUUAACCAUAAACUAUGCCGACUAGGAAUCAGACGAUGUUAAUUUUUUAAUGACUCGUUUGGCACCUUACGGGAAACCAAAGUGUUUGGGUUC
rnacentral:rRNA from 1 species